GUCUGGGGAGUGCACUUUGCACAGACAGGGAAACCGAGGCACUCAGCGGUCUCCAAUGGAGACGCUGUAAUCGCAUUCCACGACCAGCUAGCGCUAUAAGCGCUGCCUCUAAAGCGGAAGGCCUCCCAGUCCUUCUCGACAGGAAGCAAUAUUUGCAUAUCUAAGGAGAACAAGAUUCGGCAAUGUGCUCCGGGAGCAAGUGCAGGCAUGGAACGGUCUGGGCUGGAGGGGGACAGACCUUCAGAGGCGGCUGCCCGUUCCCUGUAGUGUCAAUAAGAUUUUUAGAAGAUAGGAGUUUUCACAGUGGCGGCAGAGCCCUCUGCUAAAUCCUCAUAUUGGAUGUCAAAGGUGGCAUGUCAUUUGACCCAAUAGCUUUUUUAGUCAUUUAUCUUCCUAACACCUAUGAGAGGUAAGACAUAGCUCCCUUACCCAUGAGCAAACUGAGGCCAAGGAAAAGGAAUUGG
rnacentral:lncRNA from 1 species